rnacentral:rRNA from 1 species
GUGUCAGCAGCCGCGGUAACACGGGGGGAGCAAGCGUUGUUCGGAAUCACUGGGCGUAAAGCGCGUGUAGGCGGUUCGGUAAGUGGGAUGUGAAAUCCCCCGGCUCACCCGGGGACCUGCAUCCCAAACUGCCAGGCUAGAGUAUGGGAGAGGAUGAGGGAAUUCCUGGUGUAGCGGUGAAAUGCGUAGAUAUCAGGAGGAACACCGGUGGCGAAAGCGCUCAUCUGGCCCAAUACUGACGCUGCAGCGCGAAAGCUAGGGGAGCAAACGGGAUUAGAUACCCCUGUAGUCC